UACGAUUUUAAAGUGGGAAGCAGUUAUGCGGAAUGGUCUCGCCAAGAGCCGUCUAUUGAUAUAUUUUUCUCAAUCAAUGGCUGGCGCGUGGCGAGACCAAUCCGCAUAAAUGCUCCUCCCUUUAAAAUCGUAGAACUUGAAAAAUUCAU
ensembl:ncRNA R07H5.13 ncRNA